GCUUGAUGACCGUUUUUAAGAUGCUUUUCCAAAAGAGGUUUCUACUUAAAUAUCAAUAGCAAUUGUGAAAAAAAAGAGCAGUGCAAGUGUCCCUUCUGGCAAAUAAUGUAUGUGAAACAUUUCGGAAGGACAAAAAUCAACUGCACAGUGUGACGGGGUAGCUGACGUUUUUUAAGUUUGACGGUAUUGUGAUAUUGACCGCUGUUUCAUCCAAGACUGGUGCUUUGUUUUUAAUGGGAAGAAAUACACCUGUUAAACGUGUCCAAAAGAGAAGUUACAUUAUAAUAUCCUGUUUAUUUCCGACCGAUCCACCAACAGUUUUGCCACCGUGACGUUGUGUUUCCACUAGGGGGCGGGGAUGUCACCCUUGACUCGCAAAUACUUCGUGUUUCCACUAGGGGGCGGUGAUGUCACCCUUGACUCACAGAGACGUCCUGUUUCCACCAGGGGACGUUGAUGUCUCUCUUGACUCGCAGCGGUCGUCCCGUCCUCGGUCUUUCUUUCAUUAGCAGCCUUACUCCAAAUAGAUUAUCCUCAGCUUUACUUUUCUGUCUGAGCAAUUGCGUGAAUCUGUUCACGCCGCUAGAGACGACGCCAAACGCCGAAUCUAUGCAUAGCUCUUACGUAUGUUUUUACGUCAACACGGAGCCGAGCUGAAAGCAUGUCAUCACGUGUCAUCUGAGCCACUGACGUUUUUAAAAAUAUUUGAGGAAUUAUUAUUAUCACGCUUUUAUUUUCAUAAUGGAGGGAAGUGGGCGUGUCGCUAUCACACCAACAAUAAUAAUAUUCAAAAUAUUUGUAUCAAUAAUAACAGUUGGAGUUUCUGUUAUUUCGUUUUUUUUUCUUAGCGAUUUUGCGGGGAAAUGGAUGAGUUUUGAUGGGGACAGGAGAGGCCUUUAUUUUAUUGUUUCAUCAUCCGGUAGAAUUUUGGAGUCGUAUUUAAUUAUUGUAUCUUCCAGACCGGUUUUUGUUCCUUUAGUUGAGUUUAUCGCUCUUCAUCCGCCAUGGCGGAUGACCUCCAGUCAGUCCCACAUCUGGAGUCAUUCCAACAUCUGGAGUCAGUCCAGAUGAGUCAGUGACACAUCUGGAGUCAGUCCAACAUCUGGAGUCAGUCCAGAUGAGUCAGUCCAACAUCUGGAGUCAGUCCCACAUCUGGAGUCAUUUCAACACCUGGAGUCUGUCCAGAUGAGUCAGUGACACAUCUGGAGUCAGUCCAACAUCUGGAGUCAGUCCCGCAUCUUGAGUCAAUCCCAGAUCUGGUGUCAGUCCAGAUGAGUCAGUUCAACAUCUGGAUUCCAAAUCUGGAGUCAGUCCCACAUCUGGAGUCAGUUCAACUUCUGGAGUCAGUCCAGAUGAGUCAGUUCCACAUCUGGAGUCAGUCCAACAUCUGGAGUCAGUCCAGAUGAGUCAGUCCCACAUCUGUAGUCAGUUCAACAUCUGGAGUUAUUCCAACAUCUGAAGUCAGUCCAACAUCUGGUAUCAGUCCUUAUCACAACAUGUCUUAAGAAAGAUUUUAUUUUCUACAUAAUUAAAGUAUAACUGAUUAUUAUCCAUAACACUCGGUUAACUUCAAGGCACUACUUUUUCAUUCAAGGGCCUAAUGGUUUUGAAACGGUCACCGGUCAAACCUGUUGUUGUUGUUAGUAGUCGUUAGACACCAAGAGGAGAU
ensembl:lncRNA